GGCCGUGUAGCAUAAUGGCAAUGCGCUUGACUACGAGCCUUCUAAUGGUUGACAUCAAGAGAUUCCAGGUUCGACCCCUGGCACGGUCA